UCACACCCGUUCCCAUUCCGAACACGGCAGUUAAGCUCUUCAGCGCCGAUGGUAGUUGGGGGUUUCCCCCUGUGAGAGUAGGACGCCGCCAAGC
rnacentral:rRNA from 3 species